ACCUAUGGCCAUACCACCCAGAACACACCUGAUCUCCGAAGCUAAGCAGGGUUCAGCCUGGUUAGUAUGUGGAUGGGAGUCUGCCUGGGAAUACGGGGUGCUAUAGGCU
ensembl:rRNA 5S_rRNA 5S ribosomal RNA